rnacentral:tRNA from 1 species
UAGCUCAGUUGGUAGAGCAGUCCCUUCGUAAGGGAAAGAUCACAGGUUCGAUUCCUNN